AUCCAACUGAUGAGUACCAAACAGGACGAAAUGCGCGUCCUGGAU
rfam:Schistosoma margrebowiei strain Zambia genome assembly, scaffold: SMRZ_scaffold0000182